AACACGUGAGUAACCUGCCCUUAACUCUGGGAUAAGCCUGGGAAACUGGGUCUAAUACCGGAUAUGACUCCUCAUCGCAUGGUGGGGGGUGGAAAGCUUUAUUGUGGUUUUGGAUGGACUCGCGGCCUAUCAGCUUGUUGGUGAGGUAAUGGCUCACCAAGGCGACGACGGGUAGCCGGCCUGAGAGGGUGACCGGCCACACUGGGACUGAGACACGGCCCAGACUCCUACGGGAGGCAGCAGUGGGGAAUAUUGCACAAUGGGCGCAAGCCUGAUGCAGCGACGCCGCGUGAGGGAUGACGGCCUUCGGGUUGUAAACCUCUUUCAGUAGGGAAGAAGCGAAAGUGACGGUACCUGCAGAAGAAGCGCCGGCUAACUACGUGCCAGCAGCCGCGGUAAUACGUAGGGCGCAAGCGUUAUCCGGAAUUAUUGGGCGUAAAGAGCUCGUAGGCGGUUUGUCGCGUCUGCCGUGAAAGUCCGGGGCUCAACUCCGGAUCUGCGGUGGGUACGGGCAGACUAGAGUGAUGUAGGGGAGACUGGAAUUCCUGGUGUAGCGGUGAAAUGCGCAGAUAUCAGGAGGAACACCGAUGGCGAAGGCAGGUCUCUGGGCAUUAACUGACGCUGAGGAGCGAAAGCAUGGGGAGCGAACAGGAUUAGAUACCCUGGUAGUCCAUGCCGUAAACGUUGGGCACUAGGUGUGGGGGACAUUCCACGUUUUCCGCGCCGUAGCUAACGCAUUAAGUGCCCCGCCUGGGGAGUACGGCCGCAAGGCUAAAACUCAAAGGAAUUGACGGGGGCCCGCACAAGCGGCGGAGCAUGCGGAUUAAUUCGAUGCAACGCGAAGAACCUUACCAAGGCUUGACAUGAACCGGAAAGACCUGGAAACAGGUGCCCCGCUUGCGGUCGGUUUACAGGUGGUGCAUGGUUGUCGUCAGCUCGUGUCGUGAGAUGUUGGGUUAAGUCCCGCAACGAGCGCAACCCUCGUUCUAUGUUGCCAGCACGUGAUGGUGGGGACUCAUAGGAGACUGCCGGGGUCAACUCGGAGGAAGGUGGGGACGACGUCAAAUCAUCAUGCCCCUUAUGUCUUGGGCUUCACGCAUGCUACAAUGGCCGGUACAAAGGGUUGCGAUACUGUGAGGUGGAGCUAAUCCCAAAAAGCCGGUCUCAGUUCGGAUUGGGGUCUGCAACUCGACCCCAUGAAGUCGGAGUCGCUAGUAAUCGCAGAUCAGCAACGCUGCGGUGAAUACGUUCCCGGGCCUUGUACACACCGCCCGUCA
rnacentral:rRNA from 1 species